rnacentral:rRNA from 1 species
CCUACGGGAGGCAGCAGUGGGGGAUAUUGCACAAUGGGGGGAACCCUGAUGCAGCGACGCCGCGUGGGUGAAGGAGUGCUUCGGCAUGUAAAGCUCUAUCGGCAGGGAAGAAGCAAGACGGUACCUGACUAAGAAGCCCCGGCUAACUACGUGCCAGCAGCCGCGGUAAUACGUAGGGGGCGAGCGUUAUCCGGAUUCACUGGGUGUAAAGGGAGCGUAGACGGCCAUGCAAGCCAGGGGUGAAAGCCCGGGGCCCAACCCCGGGACUGCCGUUGGAACUGUGCGGCUAGAGUGCGGGAGGGGCAGGCGGAAUUCGUGGUGUAGCGGUGAAAUGCGUAGAUAUCAGGAGGAACGCCGGCGGCGAAGGCAGCCUGCUGGACCGCGACUGACGUUGAGGCUCGAAAGCGUGGGGAGCGAACAGGAUUAGAUACCCCUGUAGUC